GGCCAUCACAGUUGACUCUGAGGCAGGAGCCAGGCUAUGUACACCCUCUAUCACAAAGACCUACAAGGGAGGACUGUCCCAAAUUUACAGAUCCAGAGAUCCGGAGAAAGGAAAUGGCACUUUAAGAUCACACAGCUAAACUAAGAAACAGACAAACCUGGAAGUCAGGGCUUUAGGCCCCACCCUUCUUUCUAUAGUUUUUUUUUUUUUUCUAAAUCCAAGGAUGUUCCUUUCUCUCCCCACUCCCCAAUAAUGGGCUGCAUAUGAUUUCCAAGGUUUAAAACUUGUAAACAUGAGGUGGACAGAAGGUUUGGGAACAGGGCAAUGCCAAGCUGUGGGCAGUAAAGAAUUUUAAAUAGCAAGAGUGUCCUGACAAGCUCUUUUAAGAUGAUGGGGUGAGGAAAAGGCUGUGUACGUCACAGGUCGCCCUGCCAGUAGGGCAAAGCAGGAGAGCCAGGUCUACCAGGACCAGAGGGUGCCCGAGGCCCACCUGGCUUCAAGGGACACACAGGCGAUUCUGGUGCACCCGGUCCCCGGGUAAAGUCUGGUGCCAUGGGGCUUCCUGGUCAGGAAGGGUUACCAGGAAAAGAUGGUGACACUGGACCCACUGGGCCACAGGGUCCCCAAGGACCAAGGGGCCCACCGGGCAAGAAUGGAUCACCGGGAUCUCCAGGAGAGCCUGGCCCUUCAGGAACCC
rnacentral:lncRNA from 1 species